AAGUCGUAACAAGGUUUCCGUAGGUGAACCUGCGGAAGGAUCAUUCAUAAUAAGUGUUUUAUGGCACUUUUUAAAUCCAUAUCCACCUUGUGUGCAAACAAUGGAAAAGAGAGAAUAUUGGAUGCUUUUUUGUAUCCAACCUCUCUAAAGUUUUUUACAAACUCCAUCAAAUUUUGAAAUAAAACUAUUUUUUUAUAAAAAAUAUUAUACAACUUUCAACAACGGAUCUCUUGGCUCUC
rnacentral:misc_RNA from 1 species